rnacentral:rRNA from 1 species
GGACUACCAGGGUUUCUAAUCCUGUUUGCUCCCCACGCUUUCGUGCCUUAGUGUCAGGAACGAGCCAGUAAUCUGCCUACGCCAUCGGUGUUCCUCCUAAUAUCAACGGAUUUUACCCCUACACUAGGAAUUCCAAUUACCUCUCUCGUCCUCUAGCUGUGCAGUUCAGUCAAUGGAUAUUCGGUUGAGCCGAACGCUUUCACUGACUGCUUACACUGCCACCUACGCAACUCUUUACGCCCAGUAAUUCCGGAUAACGCUUGGAUCCUCCGUAUUACCGCGGCUGCUGGCAC